CCUGUUUGGUGGUCUCUUCACACGGACGCGCAUGAAACCUAUAAGCCCAAGACUGAAGUCUUACUGGUUGUUGCUAUGAAGAGGAAAUGAAUUUCUCUUCACUUUCCUUUUUAAAUUAUUCUCUACUCUUCUCCAGACUGGCUACUGGCCAAUUGGGAUAUCCUUUUAUCAGUCAAAGCUAUGUCCUGGUCAAUGGAUUUCAAACUGUUGAGGAUCUAUGGUGAGCACUGGGGACUGUGUCUGAGAACGUUCAUUGAGGGACAUCUUCUAACUCACCUUUUACAAACCCAACCAUUCUCAGGUGCUACCAGAGAAUGUAAGGUGCUGCUGAUUUGCCACGUGCUUUUAAAACAAGGAAGGUUAUUAUUAACUCACACGAUCACAAGGUCCCACAACAGGCCAACUGCAGGCUGAGGAGCAAGGAGAGCCAGUCCAAGUUCCAAAACUGAAGAACUUGGAGUCUGAUGUUCAAGGUCAGGAAGCAUCCAGCAUGAGAGAAAGAGGUAGGCUGGGAGGCUAGGCCAGUCUCUCUUUUCACAUUUUUCUGCCUGCUUAUAUUCUAGCUGCACUGGUAGCUGAUUAGAUUGUGCCCACUCAGAUAAAGGGUGGGUCUGCCUUUCCCAGCCCACUGACUCACAUGUUAAUCUCCUUUGGCAACACCCUCACAGACACACCCAGAUCAAUAUUCUGUAUCUUUCAAUCCAAUCAAGUUGACACUCAGUAUUAACCAUCACAGGAAGUAUACAAAUUUGACUUAGCCUUGUUAUCUUUACUUACUAUCUUUAUCGUUUUACCUGCUCACCCUGCCCCUGCCUGGUUUCCUAGGUCAAAUUAGGAAUUAAUCUUACAGCAAAGACCCCCUAUUUCAAAAACAGACAAACAAAAAACCUCUGUCUCAGUUUCUGCCUGCCCAAAAGAGAUGUUUCUACUAGUCAGAACAAACAUCAGAGAUGGACUUUGAUCAGAAACUCAGGAAGUGGGAGAGGAUGCAGGUCAGGUUAAGAGAAAUAGUGCAGUUCCAACCCUGGGCAGCCCUAAGUAAGAGUCAUCAGAAGCUUCCAGGCAAUUGUCACUGAAAAAUAAGUGCUAUAGCACUACCUCAGCUGCUGCAACCACAGACCUCAUUCAGAAAUCUUUAUUGUAUUAACCCUUGUGUGUCCGGAAUUGGUGGGUUCUUGGUCUCACUGACUUCAAGAAUGAAGCCUGGGACACUCACGGAAUCAAGACAACUCACCAGAAAAAGGACUGAGAACUCCUUCUGGAUGAAGAUACUUCCUAGGUGCAAGAGAGUUGAGUUAAGGCUAAAGCUCUAUAACCAUUGAAAGCUGGCUGGGGGAAAAGAAGAAGAGGCAAAAAGAUCAACUGAAGAAUAAACUGCUGUCAUUGGCACAAAAGAAUACCACAAAGAUUAUUUACAAAACUCGAAUCAGGAGUAGAACAGACCUCCAUGUGGAAGUUCAAUUAUGCUAAGAGGAAAGAGGAAAGGGGAAGAGUUUACAGAAAUAAAUUAAUGAUGAUGAUAAACUAUUUUCAAGCCCUUACAUUUUUUUUUUUUAUGGAGUUUCGCUCUGUCACCCAUGCUGGAGUGCAAUGGCAUGAUCUCAGCUCUCUGCAAUCUCCACCUCCCUGAUUCAAGCAAUUCUCCUGCCACAGCCUCCCGAGCAGCUGGGAUUACAGGCAUG
rnacentral:lncRNA from 10 species